rnacentral:rRNA from 1 species
UAAACUAGGGAUUAGAUACCCUAUUAUUAAAAAUUAAAUUAAAUAUACUAAAAUAGUAUAUAAUUAUUUAUAGAAACUUAAAUAAUUUGGCGGUAUUUUAGUUCAUUUAGAGGAAUCUGUUUAAUAAUUGAUAAUCCACGAAUAAAUUUACUUAAUUUAUAAAUUUUGUAUAUCGUUGUUAAAAAAAUAUUUUUUAAUAAAAAUAAUAUUUUAAAAUUUUGAAUAAAAAUUAAUUCAGAUCAAGAUGCAGAUUAUAAUUAAGAAUAUAAUGGAUUACAAUAAAAAUUAAUUAAAUGAAUAAUAUUUUUUAAGAAAUAUUUGAAGGUGGAUUUAAAUGUAAUUUUAUUUAGUUAAUGGGUCCUUCCCGGGACGGU